rnacentral:rRNA from 1 species
UACGGAGGUGGCAAGCGUUGCUCGGAAUCACUGGGCGUAAAGGGCGCGUAGGCGGGGAGGUAAGUCGGGUGUGAAAUCCCUCGGCCCAACCGAGGAACUGCGCCCGAGACUGCUUCUCUUGAGUCCCGGAGAGGAAGAUGGAAUUCCCGGUGUAGCGGUGAAAUGCGCAGAUAUCGGGAGGAACACCAAUGGCGAAGGCAGCUCGCUGGGACGGUACUGACGCUGAGACGCGAAAGCGUGGGGAGCAAACAGG